AACGAACGCUGGCGGCGUGGAUAAGACAUGCAAGUCGAACGGGGUUGUUUGUGUAGCAAUACAUCGGCAACCUAGUGGCGAACGGGUGCGUAACACGAGAGCAAUCUGCCGGGAAGUGGGGGAUAGCUCGCCGAAAGGCGAAUUAAUACCGCAUGUGGCCAGAGGGGACAUCCCUUCGACGCCAAAGUCGCAAGACGCUUCCUGAUGAGCUCGCGGCCUAUCAGCUUGUUGGUGAGGUAACGGCUCACCAAGGCUAUGACGGGUAGCUGGUCUGAGAGGACGACCAGCCACACUGGAACUGAGACACGGUCCAGACACCUACGGGUGGCAGCAGUCGAGAAUUUUUCACAAUGGGGGCAACCCUGAUGGAGCGACGCCGCGUGGAGGAUGAAGGUCUUCGGAUUGUAAACUCCUGUCAUGCGAGAACAAGAAAGUGAUAGUAUCGCAAGAGGAAGAGACGGCUAACUCUGUGCCAGCAGCCGCAGUAA
rnacentral:rRNA from 1 species